UAGUGAACUUUAUUAUCCAUAGAAAUAUCCAAAGUACUUCUAAAUUCCGAAAACAUGCAAUUCAAACUUUACAUUACAUUAGUUAAUCAAUAUUCCAAUGUCAAGCCAAUAGGCAACAAAGUCCAAUUCAAAACCAAGCAAAGUACUCAACAUUCAGCAACAUCAAAUCUAUGCAAAAUUUAGUCUUGCAGCAGCAAAAUUACAAAAUGUAGUCUUCCAGCAGCAAAAUCCAGCAGACCCAAAGCCAAGACAUGAAAAUUCAUCAACAUCCAGCAUCAAAUCUAUGCAAAAUUCAGUCUUGCAGCAGCAAAAUUACAAAAUGUAGUUUUCCAGCAGCAAAAUCCAACAGCCCCAAAGCCAAGACAUGAAAAUUCAUCAAUUUGGCUAUUCAAUCCACGAACUAAUUAAUUAAUUAAUCAAUCAAGUAAGAUAACUUAUGUAAUUACACUAAAAUGGAAGUGGCACACCAGAUUAACAGCAAUGACAGGUGAGGCAGCAGUUAAAGCCCAAAUAGCAAGAAAGCCACAAGCCACACCUUUAAGUUCUUUUAAUCUUUUGUAGCCGCUACUAAUAAUAAUAAUAAUAAUAAAACCAUCAUAUUAAUUAAUAUGAGUAUAUAACUAAACAUAGGGUUCAAGAGUUCCACGUCUUAAAAGUUCCAAUCAUAGAGACAUUUCCAUCGUCCUGCAAAUAAUCAAUCACAGCCUUUAGAUUUUCUUUCUGAAAAACAAGCCAUCAACUUCAGAUUGAUCUCAAUUACAAGAAUACAGUUCAACGAGAUAGAUAAUUAACCUCAUAAAUGAUUUUUUUUCUCUUUAAAAAUAAAAAUUUUAAAAAAAAUUACGGGCUAUGUAAUUUCUUCCCACUAGUUAAUCAGCCACUUACUUCAUUCAAUCCUAAAGUAACAUGCUUUCCUACAAUGAGCCUAGAUCCUGAAAAAUCAAGAGUGAAAUAGUAAUAUUGAAGGCAAUAAUAUUAUCGGAGCUUCACUGGCAUCAGCCCUGCAACUACUGCCAAAGAUCAAGAUAUACUGCUAAUUAGUUUUCUGUAACUGGUGCUCAAGUGAAUCAUUUGCAAAUAAAAAGCAAUGAGGAGUGUUGAGUUCUUGAAAUUAUAAUAAAGCUUACAAUUCUUCUUCAAAGCACAAAGUUCCAAAUUGUUACUGGGAAGAAAUAUGUGUAAUGCCUUUAACAUAAUUUUACUCCAUCCAUUUCUUAAAAUCACAAAAAGAAUUUUCAUUAUUCAUUUAUUACUCAAUUGGAAAAUAAUUUCAAUGAGCCAAAUUCAUAUAAAAUAUAAAAUAUAGAUUUAAAUUCUCACGAUUCUUGAAUUCCUAUAAGUUAACACAACUCAGUCCUUCAAAAAGCAAAGCAACAAUAUAUCAACUUAAAUUGAACAAUAUGUGAUAGAUGAACUGUACACCUAGACUAAGCAUGAGCAAGAUUAAAUACAACACCUCAUCAAGCUUUGCCAUGAAUUGUAUCAGCUUUGCUUUACGAAUGAACAAAAUAAGCUUCAUAUUCCUUGGCUCCUCAUAGAUAGAAAUGGACUGCAACAAUUAAAGUGCCAAGAUUCAUUCACGCUUUUUAUUAAAUACUUGGAGAUCCCCAAUUCGAAGAUAGUGAACAUACGGCUACAUGCAAGUGAUUUGUCACAGUCAAGAGCAAAGCCUAUGUCUGAUUUUGUAGUUCCAAUCAAAAAGAUCCAAAUUUAACAAGAGCACACCUAGGAUUUUCAACUUUUACAUGUAUAGGGUUCAAAUUUGACAAGAACACAUCUAGGAUUUUCAAGAUUUAGGUGUACAGGGUUCGAAUUUAACACGAACACAUCUAGGGUUUCUAAGUUUUACAAAUCUAGGGUUCGAAAUUGACAAGAACAUUAAAAUUGAAAUGGAACACAACACUAGAAACAUUAUUUACCUGUAUUGAUCAAAUGGUUGCGACAGUGGUCAAGUGAGGGUUCUCAGUUAGGGUAAAAUUCAAUAGUAGCAGCACACGCGUUUGGUGGGUAUUCCAUAUAGUUCUUGGUGAGGGCCAAAAUCGAUAGUGAAAUACAAGAGAACGUCGGCAGUGGUUCAGUGCCCAUGCAAGGAUUUCAGUCGAGAAGGGCUUUGUGAGUGUGAGAUUGACGAGAGUGACUGAGCGAGAGACAAGAAUGAGAGUGCCAACACUUCGGGAAAAAAAAAUACGAUGGUUGAAAACUGAAG
rnacentral:lncRNA from 1 species